AUGGGGGUCCUAAGCCACGGGAGGAAGAGGGACUGGCUCUCAGUCCCCGCCUCGUGGGCGGGGAAGAAGGGCUGGCUCUUAGACACCGCCUCGCGGGGGGUGCCUCCCCCGCCUGCGAUGGGGGUCCUAAGAGCCAGGGGGGAAAGAGCGGCUGGCUCUCAGUCCCCGCCUCGCGGGGGGUGCCUCCCCACCUGCUAUGGGGGUCCUAAGAAAAAUGGAGGGAAGAGGGGCUGGCUGUCAGUCCCCGCCACGCGGGGGGUGCCUCUCCCCCUGCGAUGGGGGUCCCAAGAGCCAGGGGGGGAAGAGCGGCUGGCUCUCAGUCCCCGCCUCGCGGGGGGUGCCUCCGCCCCCUGCGAUGGGGGUCCCAAGAGCCAGGGAGGGAAGGGGUCCCAAGAGCCAGGGGAGGAAAAUCCCCGCCUCGCGAGGGGUGCCUCCUCCCCCUGCGAUGGGGGUCCUAAGAGCCAGGAGCGGAAGAGGGGCUGGCUCUCUGUAUCCACCUCGCGGGGGGUGCCUCCCCGCCCUGUGAUGGGUGUUCUAAGAGCCAGAAGGCUUAGGGGGGCUGUCUCUCAGUCCCCGCCUCGCGGGGAGUGCCUCCCCUUCCUGCGACGGGGGUCCUAAGAGCCAGGGGGGGAACAGGGGCUGGCUCAGUCCCCGCCUUGCGGGGGGUGGCUCGCUCCCCUGCGAUGGGCAUCCUAAGAACCAGGGGAGGAAGAGGGGGAGAGGAUGAUAAUAAUUUCAGCAUCGCAGGCUGUGUUCACCCAGCCUGUUAAAUCGUUAUUUAUAUCCUGAAAGGGAGAGGAUGAUAUUACUCCCCGUAAUAGACAGAUAUGACUCCCCAUCGUAGAGCACGAGGUGUACACCCGCCCUGUGAUUUUCUUCCUCAUAUUCAGAGACCGAGAGGUUGAUGUCACUCCCAAUAUCGGAGGAAGUAUACACCCCCGUGUGAGAUGGUCCUUAAUAAUAUUCCACGGCGGAGGGGGUGAUAUGACUACAUACAUGGCAGAAAGUGGAAACCUCCCAGGGAUAUUGUUCCCACGAUCCUGGAGGGAAGAAGAUGAUGUUACUUUCAAUAUGACAGAAGGUGGAUGAAGUGGUGGACUGCCCCUCCACACCUGUGGACACGCCCCCACUGAUAUUCCUUCUAAUUGCAGCGUGGGAGAGGAGGAUAUGACACGCGAUAUCGCAGGGAGUAGAAACACCCCUGUGAUACUGUUCUUAAUAUUCAGGGAGGAAGAGGAUGAUAUUACUCCCAAUACAGACGGGUGUACACCCUCUGUACACCGAGGGUGUACACCUGUCUGUGAAAGAGUUCUUAAUCUCCAGAGGGGGAGAUGAUAUUACUCACAAUAUGAUGGACACGCCCCCACUGAUAUUGUUUUUAAUGCAGCGUGGGAGGGGAGGAUAUGACACGCGAUAUCGCAGCUGAGUGCCACGUGCUGACGUCACUAAGAUCAAUACAGCAAACUCUGAAAGAUGGACAGAGAGACAGGAGAUGGUCCUUUAUAAUGCAGUGUGAUCUGUGCUGCAAUAGAGUUUUGGAAGCUAGAAGUUCAAAACGAGGUGUUGGCAGCACCAUGCUCUCUCUGAAGAUGCUAGGAAGAAUCUGCUCCAUGCCUUUCCAUUCGCUCCUGGGGUUUCCUGCAAGCCCUGACAUUCCUUGGCUUGUAGAUGCAUCACCCCAGUUUCCGCCCCCAUCAUCACAUGGCCUCCUCUCUGUGUGUGCCUCUGCGUUCCCUCUAUUCUUCUUCUAAGGACACCGACACCAGUCAUAGUGGAUUAAGGGUCCACUCCUAACCAAUUACAUCUGCAACAACCCUAUUUCCAAAUAAAGUCACAUUCUAAGA